UUUUGAAAAAAAAUUAUUUUUUGUCCAUCUGCCUAAUGAGAUAUUCAUUAAAGGCAGUGUUAUUUUUUUUUUUUAAUUUUUAAGUAUUGCUUUAAAACAAAGGUAUAAGUUAGAACUAAGGAAAUUGGAAAGUAAUCUGAUGUUUAAACAAGAACUAAAUCUGUUAGUGUGGGAUUUGAAGAGUUAAAAGUUUCCUUGCUACAUGCAAUUACCAUACUGUUUUUUUUUUUAUUUUAGAGCACAGAAAGUCUAAUUUGUGAUAGUAUGUUACAAUACUUAAUUUAUGUUGUUACUAUUUCAAUGAACUUAUGUUUUGAGAUUAGUUAUUUUCAGCUGUCAGCAGUCUAUAUAUUAGAUAAGUGGCCUGAAAUUAGCUUGAUAUAAUCCCUUUUCCCAUUUCUGACUUUGUUUCCUAUUUAUAAAAAAUGCAUUGGGAAACAACAGCUAGUAUCCUUGCCUUUUCGAACCUUACAGAAAGAGCAUGUUCUCAUUAAUUUUUAUUGCAUAAUCAUAUAUUUUGAAAUCCCAUUUUAAUCAUAAAUGCUUAACAUUUUGAUGAAGUAAAAAUUACUGUCAAAUCCUGCAGAUUAUACCAUUCUGAUUCCACUUGCUUUUUGAUAGGCAGAGAUACAGUUUGUUUUACCUGUGUGAUGCUUCUCAUUCCUAUACUAUUUAAAAUUUGAAACAAAGUCAGUAUUUUGAAAAUAGAUUGUUGCAACCAGUUUCAUAAUAAAGUAAUACAUCAAACUUUCAUUAUUUGUUUCAUUAAGCAAUAUUUAUCAUGGAAAAUAUGAAAUGUAGUAUAAAAAAAUGUACAAUGUGCAAAUAUUGAUCUCAAUAUGUGUGAAUAAAAAUAAGAAUGCAGAAAUUCCUGAUCUUUUUUAAG
rnacentral:lncRNA from 1 species